rnacentral:rRNA from 1 species
UACAGAGGUCCCAAGCGUUGUUCGGAUUCACUGGGCGUAAAGGGUGCGUAGGUGGCCAGGUAAGUUUGGUGUGAAAGCUCGGAGCUUAACUCCGAAAAGUCAUUGAAUACUAUCUGGCUGGAGGGUCGGAGGGGAGACUGGAAUUCUCGGUGUAGCAGUGAAAUGUGUAGAUAUCGAGAGGAACACCAGUGGCGAAGGCAGCUCGCUGGGACGUUACUGACGCUGAGACGCGAAAGCGUGGGGAGCAAACAGG